rnacentral:rRNA from 1 species
CUGGUGUUCCUCCACAUCUCUACGCAUUUCACCGCUACACGUGGAAUUCCACUCUCCUCUUCUGCACUCAAGUUCCCUGAAACAUCUAAGUAGCAAUAGGAGGAGAAAGAAAAAUCGAUUUCCUAAGUAGCGGCGAGCGAAAGGGAAAGAGGCCAAACCGAAGGACCUGGUUCUUCGGGGUUGUGGACUGCAUCAAGCGAUGGAGGCUAUGGUAGUCGAACUGUUUUGGGAAAGCAGACCAAAGACGGUGAAAGUCCGGUAGACGAAACCAGAAGACCCGCUGCAGGAUCCAGAGUACCACGGGACACGAGAAACCCUGUGGGAAGCCGGGGGGACCACCCCCCAAGCCUAAAUACUCCCCAGUGACCGAUAGUGAAGCAGUACUGUGAAGGAAAGGUGAAAAGAACCCCGGGAGGGGAGUGAAAAAGAACCUGAAACCUUGUGCUUACAAACAGUCAGAGGUCUACGGACUGAUGGCGUACUUUUUGUAGAACGGUCCGGCGAGUUACUAAUGCCAGCGAGGUUAAGUGGUCAGAAGCCACGGAGCCGAAGGGAAACCAAGUCUGAAUAGGGCGUAAAGUUAGUAUUAGUAGACCCGAAACCGGGUGACCUAUCCAUGUCCAGGUUGAAGGAGCCGUAAAAGGCUUUGGAGGACCGAACACACAUCUGUUGAAAAAGGUGGUGAUGAGGUGUGGAUAGCGGAGAAAUUCCAAUCGAACUCGGAGAUAGCUGGUUCUCCUCGAAAUAGCUUUAGGGCUAGCCUCGAGAUGGAGUCUAACGGAGGUAAAGCACUGAACUGACGCGGGGCCCAAAAAGGUUACCAACUCAUAUCAAACUAAGAAUGCCGUCAAGAUACCCUCGGGAGUCAGUCUGCGUGAGAUAAGUCGCGUGGACAAAAGGGAAAGAGCCCAGACCGACAGCUAAGGUCCCAAAGUACGUGUUAAGUGGAAAAGGAUGUGGGAUUUCAUAGACAACUAGGAUGUUGGCUUAGAAGCAGCCAUACAUUUAAAGAGUGCGUAACAGCUCACUAGUCGAGAAAACCUGCGCCGAAAAUUUAACGGGGCUAAAACACGACACCGAAGCUACGGAUUUCCUACUAGGUAGGAAGUGGUAGAGGAGCAUCCUGCAAGGACGAAGCCAAAGUGGAAACGAUGGUGGACGAAACAGGAGAGAGAAUGCCGGAAUGAGUAGCGAGAUAGAAGUAAGAAACUUCUAGGCCGAAUAUCUAAGGUUUCCAGAUC